rnacentral:rRNA from 1 species
AAAUUAACUUAUUUGUCAUAAUUUUUCUGGUUAUGUCUUCUCCUCUUUACUUUUUAUAUUCUCUUAUUUAAUAAUAUUAAUGGAAUACUUAGAAUUAGUAGAAUUCUCAAACUAUGGAACCAACUACUUUCGCGCCGGGGGCGAGAUCCAGAGCAAGGACCUAUGAAUCUGGAAGAUAUCUCGAGAAAAGGUUUUAGCAUCAGUCUCUCAUAUAUGUACUCCAGUCUAAGUAUCCCAAUGGUGUAAGACCGUUGACUAUUUGGGAAAAAGGAGGAAAAUCACUCUGAUCUCUGAUUUUAGAGAAAUAAGUGGCCUUAUGGUCCAUAG